ACCCGCUGAACUUAAGCAUAUCAU
rnacentral:rRNA from 1 species